UAGGGAAUCUUCGGCAAUGGGGGCAACCCUGACCGAGCAACGCCGCGUGAGUGAAGAAGGUUUUCGGAUCGUAAAGCUCUGUUGUAAGAGAAGAACGUGUGUGAGAGUGGAAAGUUCACACAGUGACGGUAACUUACCAGAAAGGGACGGCUAACUACGUGCCAGCAGCCGCGGUAAUACGUAGGUUCCGAGCGUUGUCCGGAUUUAUUGGGCGUAAAGCGAGCGCAGGCGGUUUAAUAAGUCUGAAGUUAAAGGCAGUGGCUUAACCAUUGUUCGCUUUGGAAACUGUUAAACUUGAGUGCAGAAGGGGAGAGUGGAAUUCCAUGUGUAGCGGUGAAAUGCGUAGAUAUAUGGAGGAACACCGGUGGCGAAAGCGGCUCUCUGGUCUGUAACUGACGCUGAGGCUCGAAAGCGUGGGGAGCAAACAGG
rnacentral:rRNA from 1 species